rnacentral:rRNA from 1 species
UACGUAGGGGGCAAGCGUUGUCCGGAAUCAUUGGGCGUAAAGCGCGUGUAGGCGGCUCGAUAAGUCUGCUGUGAAAGUCCAGGGCUCAACCCUGGAAUGCCGGUGGAAACUGUCGAGCUAGAGUCCGGAAGAGGCGAGUGGAAUUCCUGGUGUAGCGGUGAAAUGCGUAGAUAUCAGUAGGAACACCAAUGGCGAAGGCAGCUUGCUGGGCCGUUUCUGACGCUAAGGCACGAAAGCGUGGGGAGCGAACAGG